rnacentral:tRNA from 1 species
AAGAGAGUUAGUUUAUUAAAAAACAUUUACUUUGAAAGUAAAAAUUGAUUAUUCACUCUCUUA